rnacentral:rRNA from 1 species
UACGAAGGGGGCUAGCGUUGUUCGGAAUUACUGGGCGUAAAGCGCGCGCAGGCGGCUAUCCAAGUCAGGGGUGAAAUCCUGGAGCUCAACUCCAGAACUGCCUUUGAUACUGAGGAUCUUGAGUUCGGGAGAGGUGAGUGGAACUGCGAGUGUAGAGGUGAAAUUCGUAGAUAUUCGCAAGAACACCAGUGGCGAAGGCGGCUCACUGGCCCGAUACUGACGCUGAGGCAUGAAAGCGUGGGGAGCAAACCGG